rnacentral:siRNA from 1 species
GCAGCGGAUACGGUUGUUGUUGC